GCCCAGGUGGAUCAACGGCAGAUCGUCCCUUCAACAUAACAUGAUGCGCGAGGAUCCGGAAGGUGGAGGUUCGAGUCCUCUCCUGGGCA